UGGAACUACCGAGAAGCUGUGAUUUCACUGUUAUUGUUGUUGUUUACUGCUUGCUGAGCUCCUUAUUACACCAAAGUCAAAAUGAAAAAGACUAACUAAGCCUAUUAGCUACGAGUUACAAGAUUCCUAUCUAUGAGUCUUUUGAAGCUUGAUCUUGAGUUUUGGCUGGUUCUUCCUGCAGACUCUGAUCUGAACCUUGAUGCUUGCUAGCUGCAGGUGCUAGUUCAUUCUUCUUCGGCUUUUCAGAUCAAGAUGCGACAUGCAAAGCUUGCGACUUCAAUCAUGUCUUGGUCAUCCUGGACUGUCGACUUGCAUUCUUGAGGUGAGCUUCUGUACUUCUAACUUGAAUUGAAUUCUGAAAUAACUUCCCUCAUUCUUCAGGUGGGCACCUGCAACUGACUUGAAAUUUGAACUGAAUUCCCUCGUUCUCCAGGUGCCUGCUAAUGACUUGAAAAUUGAAACAAAUUCCCACAUUCUCCAAGUGGGUGCCUGCCGCUAACUUAAAACUUGAAAUAAAUUUCCUCAUUCUCCAGGUGGGCGCCUGAUGACUUAAAACUUGAAAUAAAUUCCCUCAUUCUCCAGGUGGGCGCCUGCUGACUUUAAAAUCUUGAAAUGAAUUCCCUCGUUUUCCAGAUGGGUGCCUGAUGUUGACUUAACACUUGAAAUGAAUUCCCUCAUUCUCCAGGUGGGCGCCUGAUGUUGACUUAAAACUUGAAAUAAAUUCCCUCGUUCUCUAGGUGGGCGCCUGAUGACUUAAAACUUGAAAUAAAUUCCCUCAUUCUCUAGGUGGGCACAUGCUGACUUAAAAACUUGAAAUAAAUUCCCUCGUUUUUCAGGUGGGUGCCUGAUGUUGACUUACACUUGAAAUGAAUUCCCACAUUCUCCAGGUGGGUGCCUGAUGCUACAACAAAAUAGACAAAACAAAAGAAACUUUUCUGCCCCAGUUUGUACUAGGAAGAUUUGUGAGUUGUUAGCAGAACUAUAAAUCACCUAUGUUAUUGAUGAAUGAUGCAAUGAUGAGAGUAAAAUUAAAGACUCGACUAGGAUGUGCGUCUCCUAAAGAAAUAAAAAUCUGAAAAACCUAAACUAGAAAGUGCGUCUCCUAAAUUUUAGAUUGAGCUUGCGGAAAACUAUAAACUAAGCUUGACUAAACUAAAAACUGACCCUAUUCUCCAGGCGGGACCCCUGAUUUCAAGAAAACUAAAGAUUGAUAAUUUAAGAAAACUGAAAAUUGACCCUUUCUUUUUAAAAAAAGAAAAAGAAAAAAAAAUCCAGACUUCCCUUUUUUUAAACUUAUUAUCGUAGCAGAAAAUUCAUUAGAUUAGGUUUUAAUCUUAGGAGAAAGAUUCAUCAGACUAAGAUUUUGAUCCUAGGAAAAAAAUUCAUCAGACUAGGUCUCUUUUUUUUUUUUUUGGUAUCUUUGGAGAAAGAUU
rnacentral:lncRNA from 1 species